rnacentral:rRNA from 1 species
CAGCUGUAAACUAUGUGCGUUAGGUGUGUCAGUGACCACGUGUCACUGAGGUGCCGAAGGGAAACCGUGAAACGCACCGCCUGGGGAGUACGGUCGCAAGGCUGAAACUUAAAGGAAUUGGCGGGGGAGCACCGCAACGGGAGGAGCGUGCGGUUCAAUUGGAUUCAACGCCGGACAACUCACCAGGAGCGACGGUUACAUGAAGGCCAGGCUGAUGACCUUGCCUGAUUUUCCGAGAGGAGGUGCAUGGCGUAGUCGUGU